rnacentral:tRNA from 1 species
AAGAAUAGUAUUACACCCAAAGGAUUUCUAACCCUUUUCAAGCAGUUUAAAUCUGUUAUAUUCUUA